rnacentral:lncRNA from 1 species
GGAGUACUGAGGACGUGUUUACACUGCGGGGCAUUCUUAGAAUCCCAGCAACUCGGGAGGCUGAAGCCAGAGGAUCUCUGGCACCUGGGAGUUUGGAGCCAGCCUAGAAGGCAGAAAUGAGAAGGCCCACUUCUUAAGAAAGGAGGGAGGAGUAGAGAGGAAUGGACUAUAGAAACAGGGUUUGCUGAUCAGCACACAAAUGGAGACGUUCUGAAAACAAGGCAGCAGUAAUACCAAAGGCCAAGACAGCCCAAGUACACCAGAUUUCCAGCUGGCCCAGACUGCCACCUUAGCUCCAGAGCUGACACCAUCAAACUCUGGGACAUCCGAGGAAACACAGACCCUUAGAAAAUACUAAAGGCUUCUGUUCCACAUGACUGGAGCUAAAUAAAAAUACGCCCUGAGAAUCAAAUGUUGACAGCUGAUUCCUAAAUUGAAAGUAACCACUGAGUGUAACACACGUGUGCAGAUAUGCAUGUGUAGAGGCCAUUGCUAAUGUUCCUGCCUGCUGGAUACUUUAUUAGUUCAUUUUUAGACAGCCUCAUACUGCUCUGAAACUCACCAAGGUUGUGGGCACUUGGGAUCUGAUCUCAGGUCUUUGCGCUCAAGCAGCAGGCAGUUUAUGAACCACCCGAGCCCUCCACAGCCCCCAGUGAAACCUAGUUUAACAUUCAUCUCCUUCAGUGUAUAUUAUUGCAUUCAUUUAGUAUGACUGUAAUAAUAAAGACUAUGCUAGAACCUUGUUCUAAAUUAAAAUCUAGAGCUGAUGAGGACAGCAGUACCAGAUGCUAGGGGAAGUCCAAAAAGGUAAACAACAACAACAACUUCCAGGGAAUCACAGUGGGAACUGCCUUUAAAUGCUGGCACAUCUGUCACUGGAACACUAUCCAGUAGUGAAAUGGAUCCGGUCAGUUUUGUAGAUGUGGAGACUUACUUAUGGAUUAACAUAACAAAAUGUCUUGGUCCUCUGUGUUCUUUUCUUCUCCAGGACAUGAAGAGUUCUUAAGUCUUUAAAUAGCAAUCGACCCCACUUCAAGACGGUGAAAGCAGAAUUCCUCAACACUGGAAAGAGAGGGCCGCACACUGCCUUCAUUUCCAACUCACUGCACGCACAGGCAGCUAAAAAUGUAAUAAAAAGAAAGUAACCACAAAGAGAAGUCAAAAGGGCAUACAAGGAUAUCUGGCUAUAUGGAUAGCCUCAUGUGAUCCUGGAGAUGGGGGCAGGGACUGGGAAGUUCUUCAGAAGCUUGUGAGCCAGCCAGCAUGCCCAGCAGUGAACAACAGAACAUGGACAGAUGUGGACAGUGGCAGGCAGGGCAGACCCAGCACUACACUGAGAACCAGGUCUGAACAGCAACCCUCUAGAGAAUGUCUCUACCUACAGGAUCUUCCUGGGUCAAGUCCCCAAGCUUUCUGCAAACAAGGCUCCU